ensembl:lncRNA DRAIC downregulated RNA in cancer, inhibitor of cell invasion and migration
CAGCACUCAAGAAGCCCUUCCUUCUCUGGCUGUCAAGUCUGGACUCAUCUCUUGUCUUACACACGGACAGUUGUUUUAAGGAAAAGCCCCUGGUUGGACUUGCAGAUUGGGCACAGCCCUGGACGUAUACUACAGGUGCUCAUCAAGGCUUGCCUCAUCUGUUUACCCUCCAGGUCAUGCCCCUUUCUACCUCUACACCCUGUUGCAUUGCGGGCAUGGCCUCCGGAAAAGUCAAGCAUGGCGAAAGGAAGCGUGGCCCAGAGCUGGCACGCCACAGGCAAAUGGAAUAAAAAGGCCUACCUCAUUGGGCUCGUGUGGGUGAGGAGAACUGAAGAGUCUGAGAGCGCGGCACGAGCCAGAGGCUACGGAAAACACUGCCCUCCUACACUCCACCUUGGAGAGACCCAGAAAAGAACAAGCUUCAUUUGUAAAAAAGGAAAACAACUCAGGCAAUGGGGGUGGCUUAAAGGCACUCUACAGUGUGCAGAUGCCUUCCACUUCUUCCAUCUGCCCUGUCUCUCCAAGAACCCCUAUGGCCCCGGUCUCAGAACAGAGCUGAGUGCAGAAAUGAAAAUCUAUGGCUCUGUGUUCCAAAACGAUGAAGAAUUUCAAGAUGGUGGCAGUGGUAAAAUCUUUCUCCAGGAAAAAUCUGUCCUUGGCCCAAUGUGUAAACACUUGCUGAGGAACUUGGAAUAACUUGCAGUGUCUUGCAGUAUUGUGAAACCAGCAACUUGUUCACAAUUCUUCUGAAUUUCUUGGGAAAUUUGAAGUGGAGUACCUGUACCAACAUGAAAUGACACGAAUUUAAGUGACGCUCAACAACGAAAAGCAAAAAGAACCAAAGAGGAAGCAACUGAAACAACAUCUGGAUGUAUUUAAAAAUAUACAAUGCCUCCAAAAUCAGGUGUCAUUAAUGAAAAUUCUGAAGAAAUGCCACCGGACAUAGCCAACGCACCUACGCUGUUGUUAUUCAUUUCCUGCUUUUCACAGAAAACAAUUUUGUUGCAUGGAAGAUCGUGAACUUCAAAGGGCAGAGGGGAAACUGUCCCUUGGCCUCUACCCCUCCAAGGCCCCACUUUUUUGUCAACACUCCUUGGACGCAGCAGAAGUAUGAACAUAAUAUGGUCCUGAAUGAGGCUGAGUCUUUGGGCGCAGAAGACCCGGGUUAAUAAAAAUAGGAAGAGUUAUGGGCUCUGGCCCAGUGUGGAGGGGCCAGAGGCUGACUGAAAAGCAGGCCCAGAGAGAGGAAGAAAUUCAUUCACCCAAGGUCACAGAGCUUUCAGCAGAGCUGGGACAGACCUCCUCUGACUCCCAGGCUGGGGCAGUUUCCUCCAGGGCUCCUCACCCAACCACGAGUUGUUCUUCGGUGACCCCAGGCACCUUCACAGCUCCAAACAUCACCACCAAGAGCUGCCUUGACUUUUCAGACGUCAUCGAGAACAAUAACAACAAAAAAGCAU